rnacentral:misc_RNA from 3 species
ACACCCUCAAGCUCUGCUUGGUGUUGGGCGUCUGUCCCGCCUCUGCGCGUGGACUCGCCCCAAAUUCAUUGGCAGCGGUCUUUGCCUCCUCUCGCGCAGCACAUUGCGCUUUAGAGGGGUGUGGGCCGCGUCCACGAAGCAACAUUAUCGU